rnacentral:rRNA from 1 species
UACGUAGGGAGCAAGCGUUGUCCGGAAUCAUUGGGCGUAAAGCGCGCGUAGGUGGCUUCGUAAGUCCGUUGUGAAAGUCAAAGGCUCAACCUUUGAAAGCCGAUGGAUACUGCGGAGCUAGAGUACGGAAGAGGCGAGUGGAAUUCCUGGUGUAGCGGUGGAAUGCGCAGAUAUCAGGAGGAACACCAAUAGCGAAGGCAGCUCGCUGGGACGUUACUGACACUGAGGCGCAAAAGCGUGGGGAGCGAACAGG